GCUCGGGCCGAGGCUGCGGCGCGGGCAGGGGUUGAGCCCGAGGUGGGGGCGGGGGGAAGAAGCCCCUGUGUGCCCCGGGCUGCGUUUCCUGCCAGGCGGACUCCGCCCGCUGCGGCGGCGAAUGCGGCUCGGAGUCGGGCCGCGGCGGGAGGGAGGAUGCUCCAGCCCGAGUCCCGAGAGGCCGGGGUGCUGCGCUGACGGCGUCGGGGAAAUUGAAAAUGGCCCUUCAGCAAUGCUAGGUCUAUAAUGGGAAGUGUCACAGUUCGAUAUUUCUGUUAUGGAUGCCUUUUUACAUCUGCAGCCUGGACACUUUUGCUUUUUAUUUAUUUCAACUUCAGUGAAGUGACUCAGCCACUUAAGAAUGUGCCCAUCAAGGGGUCUGGGCCCCAUGGACCAUUCCCCAAAAAAUUUUAUCCCCGUUUCACUAGAGGCCCAAGUCAAGUAUUAGAAUCACAGUUCAAAGCAAACAAAAUUGAUGAUGUGAUAGAUAAUCACGUUGAAGAUCCAGAAAGAGGCAAUGUGAAAUUCUCUUCUGAAUUGGGUAUGAUUUUUAAUGAACGCGAUCAGGAGUUGAGAGACUUGGGGUAUCAGAAACAUGCCUUCAAUAUGCUUAUUAGUAACCGCUUGGGCUACCACAGAGACGUGCCAGAUACGAGGAAUGCGGCAUGUAAAGACAAGUCUUACCCGGCGGAUCUGCCAGUUGCUAGUGUUGUUAUCUGUUUCUACAAUGAAGCUUUGUCUGCCUUGCUGCGGACGGUGCACAGUGUCCUGGACCGCACGCCCGCCCGGCUUCUUCAUGAAGUCAUCCUCGUGGACGAUGACAGUGACUUCGAUGAUUUGAAAGGAGAACUAGAUGAAUACAUACAAAAAUACCUCCCUGGAAAAAUCAAAGUGAUAAGAAAUCCAAAGCGCGAGGGCUUGAUUCGAGGAAGAAUGAUUGGAGCGGCCCACGCCACAGGAGAAGUCCUGGUGUUCCUGGACAGCCACUGCGAGGUGAACGUGCUGUGGCUGCAGCCCUUGCUGGCCGCCAUCCGGGAGGACCGGCGGACGGUGGUGUGCCCGGUGAUCGACAUCAUCAGCGCCGAUACACUGGCCUACAGCUCGUCCCCUGUGGUGCGGGGGGGCUUCAACUGGGGGCUGCACUUCAAGUGGGAUCUCGUCCCGCUCUCCGAGCUCGGGGGACCGGAGGGAGCGACUGCACCAAUAAGGUCACCUACGAUGGCUGGAGGAUUGUUUGCCAUGAACAGAGACUAUUUCAAUGAACUUGGACAGUAUGACAGUGGCAUGGAUAUCUGGGGAGGAGAAAAUUUAGAAAUAUCUUUUCGGAUCUGGAUGUGUGGAGGUAAGCUGUUCAUCAUCCCCUGCUCUAGAGUUGGACACAUUUUCCGGAAAAGGCGGCCGUAUGGGUCCCCCGAGGGCCAGGACACUAUGACGCACAACUCCCUGCGGCUGGCACACGUGUGGCUGGACGAAUACAAGGAGCAGUAUUUUUCUUUAAGACCUGAUCUGAGAACCAGAAAUUAUGGAAACAUCAGUGAGCGUGUUGAAUUGAGGAAGAAGUUGGAUUGUAAAUCAUUUAAAUGGUAUUUGGAUAACAUUUACCCGGAGAUGCAGAUAUCUGGGCCCAACGUCAAACCCCAGCAACCCAUUUUUAUCAACAGAGGGCCAAAGCGCCCCAAAGUCCUUCAGCGCGGAAGGCUCUACCACCUUCAGACCAACAAGUGUCUGGUGGCCCAGGGCCGCCCGAGCGAGAAGGGAGGCCUCGUAGUGCUCAAGGCAUGUGACUACAGUGACCCAAACCAGGUUUGGAUUUACAAUGAAGAACAUGAGUUGGUCUUAAAUAAUCUCCUUUGCCUGGAUAUGUCAGAAACUCGCUCAUCUGACCCCCCGCGACUCAUGAAGUGCCAUGGGUCCGGAGGCUCCCAGCAGUGGACCUUUGGGAGGAAUAACCGGCUGUACCAGGCGUCAGCGGGCCGGUGCCUCAGAGCAGCUGAUCCACGGAGUCGCAAAGGCUCUGUUGCCAUGGCGAUCUGUGAUGGCUCCUCCUCACAGCAGUGGCAUUUGGAAUCUUAAGGCGGACGCUGUGGUCGGAACGUGACUGUCAAGCUCAUCCCCACCACGGAGCUGAAGAAGUGUGCUUCCCCAGGAGGUUGAAGUCAUUUCUGGACUGCUGUUAAGGAAUUUCUUCCUUAUGGUGUGACUCCGAGGUGACAAAGCAGGGCAUGCAAAAACCAUCUGCAUGGAGAUGAGUACAGUUCAGUGUAAGAGACCAGAAGAUCACUGGAAAUGAACCGAGAAUCCAAGCAGCCAGGCACACGCGAACACUUCGUGAAGUAACUUGGUGGUACUGAAAUUCAGUUUUAUAUGGAUGGGUUAUAUAUUACUAAAUGGUGCUCCCACAACUGGUUACUCAACAGGAAAAGAAAAAAGUCUUAAAAAAUAAAAUCACUGAAACAAAAAGAAUCUAAUAAACUACACAGGCAAUCUACAGUCUUAACCAAAAAUAGAAACUAUAGAAAAUUAUAUAUGUUUGACUGUAUAAAAAUUAAUACUCAUAAUAAAACACAUUCCACUUACUGAGGUAUUUUCCCCUAAAAUACAUCUUUUGCCAAAUAGUACAAGUUCUUAUAAACUGAAAAAUGGACAAAGGAUAUGAAUAUACAAUGCAGUUCAUAGCAAGCAAACACAAAUAGAAAACCUAAAAAGUUGCAACUGAGGGAACAUCAGUCUGUGCCUAACGGGCUGGCAAAAAUAUAAAAGGGUCCUAACACUUCCAAUGGGAAAAAAAGAAAAAGUUUCAUACUCUGUAGAAGAGCAUACAAUUACAGCCUGUUUAGAAAACAGACGAUGUCUAUGAAAAUGAAAAUUACAUGUACUUCUAUGCAGAAAUCUCACUUGGGGGCACACACCCCACAGAAGUGAAGUCACAAGGGUAUCUGUACAAAUCCUGACAGCAAUGCUGUUUCGGGAAAGAACUCCAAACAAAAUUAAUUCUCAGCAGUAGUGCAAUGGUUUAACCUAUCAUAGCUCAUUGAUUUCACAGAAAGUAACAGAGCCACUGAAGAAUGAUUUAGAGCUAGAGGUGUAUGAAUACUAGCGAGAAAAGGAAGACAUAGCAAAGUGCAGAUAACAUGACCCUGCCUUCCCACAUGCACACAGACAUCUAGGUGCUGUUAAGACAGCAGCAUGGGGGAAAAAACAGGAUAUUUAGUAGGUUGUUGGCAUGAUGACCUGGGAGGUAGACGGAAGGGAGGUAACAGAAUGGAGGAAGCAAAAGCAAAAUGACCAGAUACCAAGAGCUCUCAAAAAAGAUGACAGACUGAACACAGGUGGUUACAAAACCCUUAGAGCAUGACUGAGGAGCAGGAAGUGAUGUGUGAACGAGCCAUUGGGAGACGUCUUCAGACAGACAGGUCACUGAGCACGAGGAGGCCGGCACGGCCAGGAGCAGCAGUGGAGCAGCGACUGCCCCGGAGUCUGAGACAGGCUCCUCCAAAGACAAGAAAGAGGCUGUAUCUGUAAUACGAACAGAGUGUCCCAUGAAAAGACAGAGAAGAAGGUGCAGACGUCAAGCAGGAGCAUCUCAGAGUAAGGACAAGGAACCCAAAGACAAGACCAGGCAGAGGUCAGAGCUGAGACGGAAGUCUAACUCCAGCGGCACGAGGACCAUCAUGGGCCCAGCUGGGGGGCCAGACUCGGUGAGGCCAGGGACCACAAGCCUGCACACUCGGGCAAACCCCCGGGGGAUGCUGGUGCUGGGGGGCUGGGGCCACACCACGAGACUCCGAUCUCAGGGACCCAGUGUUUGUGUAGAGAGAGAAACAGAGGCGGGACUUCGCAGAAGAAUCAGCACAGAAACAUUUAAGGCUGACGGCAACACUGCUUCAGGCCAAAAGGAUUCACCACUGGGGAAAGCAAUGGGCCCACUUUGCUGAGACACUCAAAUAGCAAGUCAAGAAAAGAUCCUAGAAGUUUCCACGUGAAGAAGAAUGUGGAUGAACACAGUGUGAUGGUCACUUUCUACCCGAGGGACCAGCGUGGCUUGAGACUGGGACUGCACAGGAGGGGCGGGCAGGCCUGCAUGGUGCCCAGAGGUGAGACGGGCAGUCACAACAGGCCAGCAGAGCUGCGGUGGAUUGCAGCCAACUUCAGAGAGAAAAAGGCAACAGACCCUGACGAUGCUUUGGGUCUGUACACUGAGGCCAACGCACAGAACUAGGAGUGGUGACCUCAUUCAGUGACACAAGGAGCCUGGGGUUUGAGAAGCUGGGUCCUGGGACCCGCCUCGGCAAGUGUGACCUGGGUCCUGGGACCCGCCUCGGCAAGUGUGACCUGGGUCCUGGGACCUGCCUCAGCAAGUGUGACCUGGGUAAACUUGAAUGCCUAUUCGUCUCGAGAUGGUUUUACCUGUUCCACAAUCUAACCAUCAGAAAAUACAUGAUGAUUUCAUGAAAAGAAGGCUUCCAAGAUUGGGCACCUUUCGAAAACAUUUUCAUUUGUACUUUUCACAAGCGCCUUUAGCCCUAGUGAGCUUGCCACGGGUCCCGUGCAUGGAGAAUACAACGCUCCCUGCAUCCCGUGGGCUCUUGGCACAAUGUGAAGACGCGUUCAGAGGCCAGCUCCCAUUUGGGAAGAACAGCAUCUGCAUCCUGAGACCGCAGAUGGAGCGGCCAGUGAGUGCCCCGGCCUUAAACGACACCAGCCAACAGGGCAUCUCUCCCCGCGGCCUGCAGCCCCGCCUCACACGCCGGAUGCCAACCUUCUCCUGAGAGGGCCCUGCCUGCGUCUCGCCGUC